UAAAGUCAGUCAAUCCUCAGAAGAUAUUCAACCUGGUACAAUACAGUUUUGCAUCCUCAUGUAGAAAAAACCAUUGGGUGACCUGUCUUCUUCCAUUCUCCCAAAGCGUCAGAAGUUAUGUUUACCUGUUCUGAUGGAGAAGUUAGUUAGAUGAGCAUUUAUAAUAUAGAUCCAUUAUAAUAUGGACUUGUUUAUACUUCUGGCUCCUACAGGGCCCCUUUUAGAGAGAGAAGCUAGAAAGUUGGGUAUGUCUUCUAUAUAUUUUACACUUUUUUUGCUGAGUGUUUACCCCUUGAAAAGUAAGAGCUACAUUAGUUAAGACUGCAAGCUAGCAUUUUUAGCAGACAGAGCACUGUAUAUUCCCAGCCAGCACAGCAGUAGCCUGCUCCAGAGAUUUCUAGUUGUUUCUACUUCAGGAAAGAUUGUUUUUCAUGUCUUCUGCAAUUUGCAGUAGGUACACACUUAUUUAGGUAACUGCUUGGUUGCAGUCUGUAUUUCGUCUCACACCACUGGACCGCAGCUCAAUCUGCCCAGCAGGAACAAAGCGUGGCAUUCUUUACAGCAUUAACAGAAAGAUGAACAUAAACUGUUCACCCAUUUCAGAUCCCAUGUUGCAUUGUUCUGUCAUUACACACAUACAACACAUUUUAUUCUGAUUUAACAGAACCUUAACUGACCUAAAAUAUUUUUGCUCCCUACUGCUAAAUUGUCUACACAACAGUAUCAGGUAGCUCUAGCAGGAAAGAAAUAAAACUGUUACAUUCUGCCUGAAUGAAUGGGCUAGGCUUUUUUCCUGCACUUUUUUCUUGUAAACCUUGUUUGAGGCAGUAUGACCAGAAAUUAAUCAUGUUUUUCAGAACUAAGAUGAGUAUUUGCCACACUUCCCGCGUAUCAGUAGAUACUACAGUUAUCUCUGCAAUGUCCUCUUCCUCACUCUCAGCUGUUCUCAGCUGAAAUAGAGUCAAUCAUCUUAAUAGUGGCUGAUACAGUUCUAUGUUUUGGAUUUAGGAGAAAAAUAACGUUGAUAAUGCAGUGAUGUUUUAGUGACUGUUGAGCAGUGUUCACACUAUGUCAAGGAUUUCUCAAUUUCUCACACAGUUCUGCCAGCAAGGAGGCUGGGAGUGUACAAGAGGCUGGGAGAGGACAGAACAGAUAGAUGACCCAAACAGACCACAGAGGUAUUCCAGGCCAUGUGACACCACACUGAGCAGUUGCAUGGGAACUGUUGAUCACGGCCUGGACCUCUGAUUGACCACCUGAGGGCAGCAAUGAGUCAGCUGCGGGAGCUACCAGAAGGGGUGGAGCCCAGCUCCUCCUCUCCUACAUCCCAUUUAAGGGCUGAUGCCAGUGAGGAUGUAUCUCCCCUCUCUCUUGAGAUCACUUCUUGUGGAGUUUACUGCGAGCCUAUGACACCGCCUAACCUCUGUAUACCUACUGAUUGUACAACACUAAAACUGGGGGAGUUGGCUGUGGGGGCUGCCAAUGCUCAGAGAGCAGCUGUGCAUCGGUCCAUGGGAGAGUGAUUGAACAGCUGAACGGUGUCGAGCUGCCUUUUGAGUUAAACUACAACACUUACCAAGUCCAAAUCUAUAUCCAUCAGAGAAUCGGGUGCUGGCAUUCCAG